UGCACACCUGAUGAACAUCUAGGGACUUAAUACUGAAAGCAUUUGCUGAAUUCUUUGCUCUGAUGUGC
ensembl:snoRNA SNORD82 Small nucleolar RNA SNORD82